rnacentral:lncRNA from 1 species
CUGAGAUUGUGCCACUGCACUCCAGCCACUGCACUCCAGGAAGACCCUCUCAGAAAAAAAAAAAAAAGAAUUUGGCCGUUAUGUGGAGGACUGGAAUUGAGAAGGGCAAGAGCGAGGUAGAAGAGUGGUCUAGGGAGAACAGUUAGGGGCUAUUGCAAUUAUCCAGCAAGAGAUCUUGGACCAGGAUGGCAGCAGUGGAGGUGGUAAAAUGUGGUUGGAUGAAGCGUACGCUUUGAAGGUAUCAACAGGACCAGCUGAUGGAAGGGAGUCAACAGGACUAGCUGAUGGCUGUAAACUGGGGGGUCACUAGCUAUCAGAUGGCAUUUACUUAAAGCCAUGGAAGUAGGUGAGCUCCCUUAUGGAGAGGGAAUAGGAAGGAGGUAGACCAUUCUAUCAAAAUGCUCUUUCUACAGGGCACUUCUCACUGAGAUAUUAUUUAUCUGGGAUUUAUAUUAUUUAUUCAAUUUGUUUUGUGUUUGGUUCUAUUAGAAAAGCUCCAUAGGGGCCGGGCACGUUGGCUUUUGCCUGUAAUCCCAACACUUUGGAAGGCCGAGGCAGGCGGAUUACCUGGGGUCAGGAGUUUGAGACCAGCCUGGCCAACAUGGUGAAACUCUGUCUCUACUAAAAACACAAAAAUUAGCCGGGCGUGGUGGUGCGCCUGUAAUCCCAGAUGCUGAGGAGGAGAAUCGCUUGAACCCGGGAGGUGGAGGUUGCAGUGAGCCGAGAUCGCGCCACUGCACUCCAGCCUGGGCAACAAGAGCGAAACUCCCUCUCAAAAACAAACAAACAAACAAACAAACAAACAAAAAACAAAAAAAAGAAAGAAAGAAAGAAAAGGGCCAGGUGUGGUGGCUCACACCUGUAAUCCCAGCACUUUGGGAGGCUGAGGCAGGCGGAUCACGAGGUCAGGAGAUCGAGACCAUCCUCACCAACACGGUGAAACCCCGUCUCUACUAAAAAUACAAAAAUUAGUCGGGUGUGGUGGCGGGCGCCUGUAGUCCCAGGUACUCCGCAGGCUGAGGCAGGAGAAUCGCUUGAACCCGGGAGGCGGAGGUUGUAGUGAGCCGAGAUUGAGCCACUGCACUCCAGCCUGGGUGACAAAGUGAGACUCCAUCUCAAAAGAAAAAAGCUCCAUAGGAGAAGGAACCUUGUCUCUUCACCACAUAAACUGUGUUUGGAUUCGCAAUCGAGUUGGGAAAAAAAAAUCAGUCUGGAAGAGCCACACCAAACCGCUAACAGCUACUGUCUCUGGGAAUAGAACAAGGAGUUUGGUUGGCGCGAUAUACCGCCCCUGAACCUCUAGCCACAAUAAGGCUUAAUUAAUGACCGGACGACUUGAAAGCGCCUUCCACUGUUUAUCUCUUAAAUCUGCAACGAAAUGCAACAAAAACGCAAGAAAUAAACAAUAGAAGCCAGUCUUACUGCACACUGCAGAAGCCAAUAAACCCCAAAUGUAGCUCAAAACAAGGUGUCACGCAAACUUCUGAUUUUUUUUUGUUUUACACUGAAUCUCUGUCACUCUGACUAGAGGGCAGUGGCGCGAUCUCGGAUCACUACAACCUCCGUCUUCUAGAGUCAAGAGACUCUCCCGCCCCAGGAGUCUCUGCCACUCUGACUAGAGGGCAGUGGCGCGAUCUCGGAUCACUACAACCUCCGUCUUCUAGAGUCAAGAGACUCUCCCGCCCCAGCUUCUCCAAUAGGUGGGAUUGCAAACAGGCACCACCACGCCCGAAUAAGUUUGUGAACAUUUGGUACAAAUAACAAAUGACCAAGUUCCUUGGUUGUAGUUGCCUAACUUUUAAUACUUAAAAAUGUAGCCUCAGGAAAUAAGAGGCCUCAAAAAAUUGAAUAAAAACUCACAACUUUCUCUCCACGGAAAUCUUUAGUAAAAGGCGAAAGAUUUAUGCGCUUUGAAGAGAAACCCGAGUAUAUUCGUGACUUCCGCUUCGAACCUCGCAGGGAGAACUAACACUUAACACACUUAUGGUUGUUGGAUGCCUGCGUGGUACGCACUCCCUAUAUGUAGUUUAUGCACACAGAUGCGUGUAAGAGGCAUCAUGCUCUAAAACAGUGCAGAAAUGCGCGCACAGAGGGAGUGCAAGCAUCUUGAGGGUAUCUUUUCGUGGUGCACCAUGGGUAUGCAAAUCACAGGCGGCUCCGGGCUGUUCCGCGCCACCGGGGAAGCCAUGGGUCACUGAUCUCCUUUGCUCUCCUAUGCUCCUCUCUGCUGGUCCUCCUGGGACCCGCACCCCGUGGGCGGCGCCGGGUGCGGAGUCCUUUGCGGAGCUGGUGUUCGUCCCAGGGGUUAAGGUCCUGUCCCGCCGUCCUUACCCGCAGUAAGCCUCCGGGCUUAGAGAGAGGGACGGGGAAACAGACGGGCACAGACACUCAGGGGCACUGGGACCUCACAGGAGGCACGACCCCACCCCUCCUGGAGGAGAUGGCAUCCGAUCCAAUUCACCUCGAAGGGUGAUAUGGGGUCACAUCAAGGGGAGAACAAACAACUUACGCUGUGUCCUCACUAACUGCUAGCACCUCAGUUUCUGAGCAGUUCCCGCAACUGAUCCACUGGCUGACUGGCCAAAGACACCUCUCGGCUGUCAGGACAACCAACUUACAGAGGCCUUUGCCUUGGAGGUUGCUCUGGAACCUGGCUCCUUUCCCUGGGUCCACAAACCUCCUGAGAAGCUCCCCAGACCCUGUUGACCUCUCUCUGCUUCAACUGGCUGCUUUCCUGAUCUGCCUCCACCUCGCCUUCCACCUGCUGCAUGGCUUUGCCCCUCUGCCUUGCCGUUUCCCGUGCGGGUGAAGCAGGUAGGUGGAGGUGAGUCUGGAGAGACGGGCAGGCUGGAAUAUGGUGGCUCUGAAAGCCACACAGUGGGGUUCUUUUUUUUCUGCUCUCGGUCUCCAGAUUGAACCCAGUAGGAUUUCACACCAACAAAAUUUGUUAUCGUUUUGUAUAGUAAGCACUUAAUCCAGAUGAUGUUACCAAGUAUAUGACAAAAAUCCAGAAUCUGGGGUCUUUUCCACCCAGAACUAGAGAAGCUAAUACCUCAGGUCCUGGCACCAGAGAAGCUCCUUCCAAUAGCUAAUGUUCACUUGCAAACUCCCCACUCUGUCCAAAAAAAAGCACUGAAGUCAUCUGAGAUUAGUUCACAUAGAAUAUAUUUCAUUCUUUAAAAAAUAAAACUUUCAUCAUAGCUA